rnacentral:tRNA from 1 species
GCGGCUGUGCUGGAAUUGGUAGACUGGCCAGCUUGAGGUGCUGGUGCCCCACGGGCGUACGGGUUCGACUCCCGUCAGCCGCACCA